UAAGGAAUAUUGGACAAUGGUCGCAAGACUGAUCCAGCCAUGCCGCGUGCAGGAAGACGGCCCUAUGGGUUGUAAACUGCUUUUGUACCAGAGAAAACCUAUCUACGUGUAGAUAGCUGAUAGUAUGGUAAGAAUAAGCAUCGGCUAACUUCGUGCCAGCAGCCGCGGUAAGACGAAGGAUGCAAGCGUUAUCCGGAUUCAUUGGGUUUAAAGGGUGCGUAGGCGGGCUUGUAAGUCAGUGGUGAAAUCUCUCAGCUUAACUGAGAAACUGCCAUUGAUACUGCAGGCCUAGAGUAUAGAUGACGUUGGCGGAAUAUGACAUGUAGUGGUGAAAUGCUUAGAUAUGACAUGGAACACCAAUUGCGAAGGCAGUUAACUACACAAAUAUUGACGCUGAUGCACGAAAGCGUGGGGAUCAAACA
rnacentral:rRNA from 1 species